rnacentral:rRNA from 1 species
CAGUCGCCACGGUAAUACGAAGGUCCCGAGCGUUAUUCGGAAUCACUGGGCGUAAAGGGAGCGUAGGCGGCGUGGUAAGUCAGAUGUGAAAUCCCGGGGCUCAACCCCGGAACUGCAUCCGAUACUGCCAUGCUAGAGGAUUGGAGAGGUAGCCGGAAUUCUUGGUGUAGCGGUGAAAUGCGUAGAGAUCGGGAGGAACAUCAGUGGCGAAGGCGGCCAUCUGGGACAACACUGACGCUGAGGCACGAAAGCGUGGGGAGCAAACAGGAUUAGAUACCCGCGUAGUCCCUGUCUCUUAUAC